rnacentral:rRNA from 1 species
ACUCCUACGGGAGGCAGCAGUGGGAAUCUUGGACAAUGGGGCAACCCUGAUCCAGCCAUGCCGCGUGAGUGAUGAAGGCCUUAGGGUCGUAAAGCUCUUUCGCCUGUGAAGAUAAUGACGGUAGCAGGUAAAGAAACCCCGGCUAACUCCGUGCCAAGCAAGCCGCGGUAAUACGGAGGGGUUAGCGUUGUUCGGAAUUACUGGGCGUAAAGCGCACGUAGGCGGAUCGGAAAGUUGGGGGUGAAAUCCCGGGGCUCAACCCCGGAACGGCCUCCAAAACUAUCGGUCUAGAGUUCGAGAGAGGUGAGUGGAAUUCCGAGUGUAGAGGUGAAAUUCGUAGAUAUUCGGAGGAACACCAGUGGCGAAGCGGCUCACUGGCUCGAUACUGACGCUGAGGUGCGAAAGUGUGGGAGCAAACAGGAUUAGAUACCCUGGUAGGCUCUGC